CAUGGAAAAAGGAAACCCGUGAGAGACGCAAGGUGCAAUACGACUGACGGGUGGGCUAGGGGGCUCAUGCAGACUCAGCUCGGGAGAGGACAUGCGGCGCUGCUGUGGCUGCACCGCGCGGUCGCCGCCCUGGUGUCGACGGCGCCGAUCUGGCGCCACCCGGUGACCGCUGCCGAAGGACCGAGUUAUAGCGCCAAUAUGAUUGCACCGCGCUUGCGUUUCGCAGGAAACCGGCGCGCCACCAUCUUCACUUCUUCAUGCUGCUGCCUUGGUCCUGCGCGAUGCAUGGCGACAAUGCCGGUGAGUACGUGCGCGGUAUCGUGUGAGUCGCAGCUUUGCCUGCUGUGCGACACCCCCUACACCUCCUGGACGGAGCACUCCCGCGAGCAUGCUCACGUGGCGCGCUCGGUGGUGUGUCGUUUCUUCGUGAUGCCAGAGCGAAGCGAGAGCAUCAUGCAGCACCUAGAGCGGCACAUCGCUCUGGACCUCAAGGAGGUGGAUGCCCUCACAGACCGCAAGGUAGGGCGGCGCCGCGAGCGUCUCCUCGCGGGCCUUGUGCACCUUGUCGAGAAGGGUGUGCUGCGGGAUAGCAUACCCACGCUGCCGUGCUCAACGCCGGCACGCGUGGGGACUGACAAGGGAAGAGGCACUGGCAUUAGCGGCGCGACGCUUGAGGUCAACUCCGACCUCUUUCUCAACCGCGUCCUCGUCGGGGAGGCGUUCCUGCGCCGUGAGGUGCUUGACCGCUGCGCGCGGCUGAUGCCGUCCCUCACAGCGAUGGAGCUGAACAGCGUAGUGACGUACUUGACGUCGACGCGUCAAGUAGCUCGCAUCUUUGAUGAGCUGUCGCUGAUAGAGCUUCUCGUGGCGCGUGCGGAGUCGGAAAAAACUCCCGCGAACGUGAGCACCGCCACCGCUGCUGUAGCUGCCGCCGAAAGAGCGGCAGAGUCAGCGAGCGUAGAGCAGCUGAGCGAGACAACUGCGGCACCUUUCCCAGACAGCGACGCGAGCACAGAGUCACCACCUGCGCAGCAGCCCUGCUCUUCCACGCCGGCCGCCACUCCUCCCUCUCUCCCACGCUGGAGCCUGUCCCGCGAGGACAAGGUGUACAUCAUGUGCGCCUGUCUCGGCGAGCUGCACCGCUUUCACGAGCAGGAGCGACCGCGCUCCGUCAUCUCCAAGGCAGCAGCAGAUGCCAUUGUGCUGAACGUGCUUGCCGGCCACGGACGCGAGAACUUGGUGUCGGAGCUGGUGCAUGAAACACUGCAGCGCAUCGUGGACGAGGGGACGGUGGUCUGGCGGCAGCAUCAGGAGGACGUGAAGCGGCGCGGCCGUUCGUCUGAGGCAAACUUGACAGGGACGGCUCGAAUCAGCGCGUGGCGGGCACCUCGCACGGACAGUACCGUAUCCGAGGACUUGUGCUACGUGCGCACCGCACCGCUGCCGUCAAAGCCUUCACCGAGGCCGGCGUCUCAGUUUACACUGGAUAGCGCCGCAGCGGAGCAGCUAGUGUCUUCCUACUUGCCCUUCAAUGAUGUCGAUCAACUUAGCGGCACCGAGGCUGACGCCGUGAAAGCGACAGCAGAAGCGCCGUCGGGGCCGAGUCCGGGCGGCACCUACACCACCUCUCCAGAGUUCAUUUCAGUACUCCACACUUCGGAGAAGGACUGGGGGCCGCUCACGGCGGAGCUGAGGAAGCGUGCCGAGGAUUGGAAUCGGCUACCCUUUGCGCCUAGCACACCCGAGCUAAAAGCGUCGAAGAUGCUGCGCUAAGCACACUGCAUCGCACGGUUAUGUGCGCGCGUUGAUGUGCGGAGGCUUGUAUUUGCCAGUUUCCACGUCCUGUUGUCCUCGAGGCUCACGUAGAUGUGUUCAGCAGCUGCCGCAGCGAUCUUAGGAGCUUUCAGCGCUGGUGCUCACGACGGUGCUGCUUGCCGACAUGGCGGUGCAGGAGGGGCUGGGCAGCCACCAAUGAAGGUGCUUUUGAGUGCACAUGAGUGUACGGGUGCUCUACUUUUUGUCGUGCCUAUGCGCGUGUGUGGGUGUAUUUCAGUGUUUGCCUUUUUCAGUGGCGCACAGCCUUGAUUCGCGUUCGCGAAAGCAGAAUACAAGAGGGAGGUGCCGCACAUAAGCAUUCGUAUAUGGAUAAGAGGCAGUAGGCUGCGGCCGCCGUGCUCUCCACACUCAGAAACUCCGUGGUUGCCCCGUUGCUGCAGACUGUCUCUGGCAGUGUGGCCAACAGGCAGCAUACACGC
rnacentral:misc_RNA from 1 species